CCUACGGGGGGCAGCAGUGGGGAAUAUUGCACAAUGGGCGCAAGCCUGAUGCAGCCAUGCCGCGUGUGUGAAGAAGGCCUUCGGGUUGUAAAGCACUUUCAGCGGGGAGGAAGGCGGUGAGGUUAAUAACCUCAUCGAUUGACGUUACCCGCAGAAGAAGCACCGGCUAACUCCGUGCCAGCAGCCGCGGUAAUACGGGGGGUGCAAGCGUUAAUCGGAAUUACUGGGCGUAAAGCGCACGCAGGCGGUCUGUCAAGUCGGAUGUGAAAUCCCCGGGCUCAACCUGGGAACUGCAUUCGAAACUGGCAGGCUAGAGUCUUGUAGAGGGGGGUAGAAUUCCAGGUGUAGCGGUGAAAUGCGUAGAGAUCUGGAGGAAUACCGGUGGCGAAGGCGGCCCCCUGGACAAAGACUGACGCUCAGGUGCGAAAGCGUGGGGAGCAAACAGGAUUAGAUACCCGGGUAGUC
rnacentral:rRNA from 1 species